GUGUUGUACAUAGUUUAAGUAUGAAUAUUGAUUCAGUUAUUCAAUCAGUCAGGCUUUAUUUUAUAUAGUACAUCUACCCUUCAGUGUUCAUCUUUGGUCACUAUGGAUAAAUAAUGAGAAAGGAAUUGGAACUGUAAAUAAAGCUUCAGCUCAGGAGGCACUGUUCUAACAAAAGAGGUAGUACGUAAUAAAUACACACAAGAGCAGUUUAUUCAUAAGAUGUCUAAGUAUUCAAUCUGUUGUAGUUGCAUUUUCAGCUGUGCCAUGAACCAGAUGCCAACCACAUUCCUGAGAGGCUGGCUAUUCCUUGGCUAGGCAACAAUAUAAGUAACUAAUUCAAACAAGAACUGUUUCUUUAUUCUUUAAGUAUCCCACAGCGCUGAAAUUGUAAUGAGAAGAGAGAAGGAACUCAGCCAGACAGUCAUUUGCAAUACAAUCAAAUGGAUAAUACUGACCAGAGACAGGUUUUCCUGUAAUUAUUUUAUCAAACUAAAGUUAAAUACACCCGCUUUAUUAAAAUUCUCUCAUUCCCAUAAGCGGAUGUACUGAAUGAUCUUGGCUGGGUGGCCACAGACAAAGAGUUGCUGUAAAUUGCUCUGUGCCCAAUGAUGAAUGACUGGUUCCAUACUGGAAUCUGUACUGCUUCGUAUCCUUAUUAAUGAGACAGAUGGUGGAAUUGAGUGCACCCUCAGCGAGGUGGCUGAUUAUACCAAGCUGAGCAGUGCAAUAGAAGGAAGGGAUGCCAACCAACGUGACCUGGACAAACUUGAGAAGUGGACCCAUGUGAACCUAAUGAAGUUCAACAAGUCAACAAGACUACUUUAGCUACUUUUGAAGAUUUUUUGGAAGACUCUAAAAUAUUUUUAAAAUAUUCUUAAUGACACAGACAUUGUGGUGCAGCGACAACUGAGAGGGAAAUGUCCACUAAGUUACAAAAGAAAGCACAUCUUUUAAAUCCAUCUUGGAGAAAGGUGGCAUGGUUCAGCCAAGAAAGGGCAUGGCUUCAGGGUGAAGAGAAAGCACUCGGGCUCUGCAGAUCCUGCCUGGGGGAGGCAUCUUCCGUACUGUAGUGACAGCAUUGGUUUCUUCCAUCAUUGCAGGUCUGUCACUUUGCUUUUGCUGAAGAUGCAAAAGGGAGACCUUUCUAUGUGUUGCUCACCUUAACUAGCCCCGUGGAAGAAAAGGCAGUGCCUUGUAAGAUGGGUGAAGGCUUAAUUUUGAUGGUGAUUAGUAUUUACACUGUUAUCCUGUUGUCCUCAUGGGUUGGCAUUUGAUGUCACUCAAGGCACUGAUAUGAAUUCUGCAGGUCUCCUGUCAGAGCUCACAUAGAAUCAGAUUUGAGUCUAAAUAUCAGUGUUUAAAUCCCUCCUCCCCACCUCUGUCCCAGUCUUUGCUAAGAAAAACAGAAGUUGCUUCAGAGGCAAGUGGGAAACUGUUAAACCUGUGCACUUCAAAGCACUUAAUCUUCAAUGCUUCUAGAACCAAAAUAACACACACAUUAUUUUUUAUGGUUCAUCACAGAAUUGUAGAAGUUGGAAGGGACCUCAGGAGGUCAGCAAGUCCAGCCCCCAAUAAUAGUGCAGUAAUGUACAUAUGUACAUGAAUUAUGAUCUUAAACACUUAACUCUGAAGGAAAAAGCACCUUAAAUAAUAAACUGAACUCAGAGUCCAAAAGUUACUUAAACUAGCUAGAUCCUAGUCAGUUUUAAACAUUGUCAUAUGGCAUUAAAAACAACAAACUUCCUAAGCACUGUUGUGUGCUCUGUCCUGGUCCCUAUCCUUUGUUGUGAAAGCUGUAUGCACUGUACAGGAAGUCGCCACUUCAGUCCUGCAAUGAGUUCUUUCUUCUGGGCUUUGCUUUUAACCCAGUAAAUUUGUUCAUACAGCUGCUUCCAAAAAGAAACAUGGAAGAAUGGAUGACUUACAUAAUGCCUCCCCUUCACAAAUAUUAGGAACAAAGACUUUGAAAAAGACUGGCCUGUCAGAUCACUGAUUUACUUUUUACAUAGUUUGAACCAAAAGUUGUGUAUUUCUUACCAAACAGUGCUGAAGAUGAUGACCACAUUAACAGCUCUCAACAUGUUUCAAAGAAAGGCAGAGGUUAGAAGGAAUCUCCUGAGGUCAUCUUGUCCAAAGUCUCUGUUCAGGCAGAGCCUCCUACCUGCAGCAAGAUGCCCAGCAUUGUGUUCAUAUGCCUUUUGGAUACCACCAAGGAUGGAGUGCCCAUAACCCCUCAGGGCAACCUGUGAAUGUGCACAGUCACCCUCGGUGAGAAAGUGUUUCUUUAUCUUCACAAUAGAAUCCCCUGUGUCUUAGUAUGUGGCCAUUGCUUCCAGUCCUGCUGCUGCACCGCUAAGAGCCUGAGUCUUCUGUGUGCCCUCCCUUUGGUUAUUUGUACACAUGGGUGGCUGAGCUGGCCCCAAGCCUUCUCUAAGCUGAACAGAUCCUACCUUUCUUUCUCUCAG
ensembl:lncRNA